rnacentral:rRNA from 1 species
UACGUAGGGUGCGAGCGUUGUCCGGAAUUAUUGGGCGUAAAGGGCGCGUAGGCGGCUUUGCAAGUGGCGGGUGAAAUCCCUCGGCUUAACCGAGGAACUGCCUGUCAAACUGCAUGGCUUGAGACCAGGAGAGGUGAGUGGAAUUCCCAGUGUAGCGGUGAAAUGCGUAGAUAUUGGGAGGAACACCAGUGGCGAAGGCGAG